UACGGAGGGUGCAAGCGUUGUCCGGAAUCAUUGGGCGUAAAGGGCGCGUAGGUGGCCCGGUCAGCGUGCGGUGAAAGCUCGGGGCUCAACCCCGAGUCGGCCGUGCGAACUGCUGGGCUUGAGCACUGUAGAGGCAGGCGGAAUUCCGGGUGUAGCGGUGGAAUGCGUAGAGAUCCGGAAGAACACCGGUGGCGAAGGCGGCCUGCUGGGCAGUGGCUGACACUGAGGCGCGACAGCGUGGGGAGCAAACAGG
rnacentral:rRNA from 1 species